UGGAUCGGCGAGGGAGUGGUCGGUUUCCUUCCGCCAGGGCUUCCCGCGACUCUCUUUUUUCCUCCCUCUUCAUCCAAGCCCAGGACCUCCCAUUUCUCUUCCCGCUCCCAUCCUACGGCGGGCCUCUUAUCCAGGGGGGUACCAUCUCCACCUCCACCACCUGACGUCCGGAUGCGCUUACCGGCCUGAGUUAGGCUGCGCGCCUGCUACUCCCAACCUGCUUCUGGAGAGAUGCGGCGUCGGCCAUAUCGACACGAAAUGCGGGCUGGGAGUUGUAAUCGUCUCAGCUGAGGCCACACCUCCUCCCCACCGCUGCUCCCGCUUGGAAACAGCUCAGGGAGUCGGUCUCUUCCCCGUUGGUCAGGGCAAGAGCGUGAUGAGCGCGGGAGCCCCUUCCACGAUGCCGGGGAACCCCAGACCUUGGGGAUUUUGCUCUCCCCUCUUCAGGCCUGGGCAUACCUUGAUCCCAAAGCUACAACCAGAAAAUUUCCAUGCAUGGCUGUACAGAAUCAAAAUGCAACGGAAUGAUGAAGAACUCCUGGAAGUUGUGAGGACAGAAAGACCCACAUACAAGGAGCUGAGAGCAUCACAGGAUGGGACUCAAAGGACCGUAACGCAAAAGCUCUAUUAAUUCAGUGUUUGGCUGAUUUGCAGCUUAUACAUGUGAAAAACGAAGGUACUGCUGGAGAGAUGCUGUCAGCCUUGAAAAAUCUUUAUAGGAAAACAGGAAUGCAAGAUCAGAUCCAGCUUAUAAAGAGCUGUUCUGUGCUUGAUUAAGGGAUGGGAAUUGCCCCUUAAAUCAUAGGGAAAAAUUUCUGAAUCUUAUGGACCAGCGUAAAGCUUCAGAAGGGAUUCUGAACAAUGAACAUAAAAUUGCAGUUUUGCUGGCAUCUUUACCAAAUGAGUAUUCUCCAUUUAUUUCUGGUGUUGAUGCAAAGUUGAACCCAGAUUUUAAAAUGGUGUUGGCUGAUCCUAGGAGGAGGCAGAUAAACUUACGACCUACUCUAAACAAGGUGCUACUGGAUCAAAUUACACAGCUAAGGGAAGACAAAGGGAAAAUAAAUUUGCAUGUGUGCCACCCAAAGGCCAGUCAAAAGGGAGCACAACCUGAAUUCUACCACUGUGGUUAGAAGGUUAGAAGAAACCUUGCCAAUGGGAGCUCAUCCCAAAAAUAUACAAAGAUAGGCUAGUAAGCAAGUAGAUAGAAAAAGAAGAGAUUAUACAAACCAGUCAUACCAAUCUAAGCCAAUCCAGUCUAAGCCUCACAGUUAUAUGACAGAAUAAUUCUAAAAAGGAUCUAUGGUUAAUAGACAGCGGUGUGUCUGUGCAAAUGAUUUCAGAUGCAUUUUUUAAACAAUCUGAACCCAAAUGAAAGUGGAUUACAACAAAAUAUUUGCUCCUGUAGUGAGGUGUACCAAAUAAGGACACUUUUAAGUGUGGCAGCAUCAAGAAAGAUGCAUGUUGAGUACUUGGAUGUAAAGUAUGCUUUCCUGCAUGGAGAAAUCUACAUGAAGCAAUAUCCUGGAUUUGAAAAAUCAGGAGACAAAUCACUUGUGUGCAAACUCCAGAAAUGUAUAUAUGGGCUAAAACAAGCAGCAAGAACAUGGAAUGAGAAACUGAAAUAGAUGCUCAUUGGAGAAGGUUUCAAGCAAGGUCAAGCUGAUCCCCAUCUCUGUGUACAGUACAGAAAUAACAGGUGGACUUGUAUACUGAUAUGUUAAUGAGUUAUUUCUGAGCUAUGAAAAUGAAACUGAUCAUGAGGAAAUUGUACACAACUUGAAUUGAGAGACAGAGGUGAAGCAACUUGGAGCUGUCCUCUCAGAGACAAAAGAUCUAUGAAAUACUGGAGUACCUAGGACUCAAGGAUGCCAGUGGUCACACCCUAAAGGGAUAUGAAAACAGUGAACCCCUGGCACAGAAUGACCAAUACAGGACACCUAUAGGAAAGUUGUUGUACCUGGCGUCUACAACAAGGCCAGACGUAGCUGCAGCAGUAGAGAAACUCUAGAAAAACAAACUCACCUAGGAAAAGAGACUGAACUGCUGUAAAAAGUGCCCAGAUAUUUAAACUGGACUGUACAUCUGAAACGAAAGUUAUAAGACACCUAUAGUCCCAAACUGAUAGCUUAUACAGAUGCAGAUUGGCAGGACGGGCCCCAGGCAUGCCGGGCCCUUGGGCAUCAGCUUUUCCAGGGGCCUGGUGUGUAUGUGGCCCCCCCACCUACCUGUCGCCUGUCUUUUAGUAUUGCCAUUAACCAAGAUGGUGGCCACGGUUUCCCUAAGAGGAUGAAGCCUCCACUGCCAUCUUGGUUGAUGGCAUGCGUGUGUGCUAUGUGCGUGCAUCUCUGCCAUCAACCAAGAUGGCGGCAGGGGCUUCAGCACCUUAGGGAAACCUCUGCUGCCAUCUUCAUUAAGGGCAAUGCUAAAAAGCAGGAGACAGGUAGGUGGGGCGAGGGAAUGGUAGACAGGCGGAAGCUCCUGCCCUGCGAUCCGCAGCUGCUGCCAUGGAUCACGGAAGGUGAGUGGAGGGGACCCUCAGGGGCCCCUGUAGCUCCAGGGACCCUCGGGCCAGUGCCCCACCUGGCCGCCCUUUAGAACCGGCCCUGCAGAUUGGGCUGGGGACACAGCAGAUUGCAAAUUCACCAGUGGAAACUUGUUCUUCUGUGGAGGCGGAGCAGUUAGCUGGGCAAGUAAAAAGCAGGAUGCAGUAGCAGUCUCUUAUACUGAAGCAGAAUGUGUGUCAGCCACCCAGCCAUGCUAGAAAUUGAAAUGGCUAUGUCCAUUAUUGGAUGAUGUAGGAACAGAUGAACCAAAGUCCAUAUGGAUCCUGGAAGACAACCAAUAUGCCACACGUAUGCCUGUAGUCAGAAUGACUUUAUUUCCCAGUGUAAUAAACUUUUACGUUUCUUUUUUCUUUCAA